rnacentral:lncRNA from 1 species
GUAAAGUUUCCAUCCCCUUCUCGGUGUUCACACGUCCUCCCAUACAAUACAACCCUCGCUCUCUCUUUGUGACCGGCUACCACCCAUAGCCUCCGCCGGACCCAGCCCUCUUGCAAUCUCUGGAGGAUCUUUAAAGUGGAAACGUGAGCUGAAGCCGCCCUCUUUAUGGGACAGAAGCUACGAAGAACCACCCCUGCUUUUCCCUAACCAUCUUCUCCACUCCUCUUUCCUUUCUCACUUUUUCUCUCCUCACAGCCUCCUUCUCUCUCUUCUCUCCACCCCUUCUCCUCAUCAAAGACCCAAUAUGCCUCCUCCCAGAUCCUAUGACUAGAUCUAACUCAAAAAAAGGAAAAAGAGGAGCAACCAGAAAACCUUCUCUUUUUCUCCCUUUCCUCUCCUCCUCCCCCAAAACACCAUGUACCGAGAUCGACCCUUUAAAGAGAUGGUACUUUCUGCAAAGCCUUCUUCUAGAAUGAUCAUCCCAUUUCCCUCUUAAUUACUCCUUCCCUCGAACGAAUCUCUCUCUCUCUCUCUCUCUCUGUUCCCUUUUUCCUCUCUUCCUCUCUCUCUCUCCUCCCCUCGCCGCCUUCAUGGACUCCGCAAACAGCGGCAGCAUCCAGUCAUCCAGCGGCGGCGAUGACGAGUACGACUCCCGUGCCGACUCUUUCUCCGCCCUCUUCCACCCACCCCCUUCCUCNNN